UGUGCCAGCAGCCGCGGUAUACGAAGGGUGCAAGCGUUACUCGGAAUUACUGGGCGUAAAGCGUGCGUAGGUGGUGGUUUAAGUCUGCUGUGAAAGUCCUGGGCUCAACCUGGGAAUUGCAGUGGAUACUGGAUCACUAGAGUGUGGUAGAGGGAUGCGGAAUUUCUGGUGUAGCAGUGAAAUGCGUAGAGAUCAGAAGGAACAUCCGUGGCGAAGGCGGCAUCCUGGGCCAACACUGACACUGAGGCACGAAAGCGUGGGGAGCAAACAGGAUUAGAUACGCUGGUAGUC
rnacentral:rRNA from 1 species